CAAAGCUCCGCCCUGUCUCAUUCCAAGUCAUCUCCAGCUUCGUCUCCGGUAAGCGCUCCCAAUCCCAUCUGCAUCUGUGUUUCUGCACCGAUUGUGGCUGUGUGAUACUGUGUUUUGAGCUCCAGAUAUCUAGUAUCUCCGUGUGAUAUUGAUUGGUGCUGUGAUUAUUGUUGCUCGGUUAAUUUCUUGGAUCUACGGAUCAUGGCAGAACCAUACAGUUCUUACCCACCACCAGGAGAAACUGUUUAGGAUCCUGUUUUUGGGAGUUAGGCUGAUUAGACAGAAACUCUGCAAAUUUGAAAGGCUAUUGCCUUUUGCUCAAUCUGCCAAGAAAGAAGCUGUGUUAGCAAAUUCGAAAGAAACAUACUCCGUCCUGUCUCCUACGAGCAUUUGUUUUUGCGGUCAACUUGGUCUCAAGGCCUUAGUGGUACCUGCUUCAACAUUCGUCUCAGAAUCAGCAUUUAGCACCGGAGGGAGAGUGAUAUCUGAUUUUCAAAGCCGAUUAACUCCCGAGGUAGUGGAAGCGCUAAUAUGCCUUCAAUGGUAUUCUGAAAGUCUUUUGGGCAGGUUCAUCUCAACUAUGUAUGGAAGCUAUUCAUGACUUCGUUGAGCAAGCUGAUCGAUCUGAAUGACCUACUGAACCAGCUAUGCGGUUGGAAUUUGUUCAGCUACAUGAAGAUCGUCUUCCCUGGAUCAUAGUUGGUCUCUCCUAUUUGAUAUGCUGUUAAAUUUUUGAAACGACAUAACAAUCUAUUCAUGUGUAAUGUGGAUGCCUGCAGAGAGUUGCAUCAAUAGCUGAAAUCGACUAUUAGAAAAUGCACUAUUUGUGUAGUAGGAUAAUACGGUGGUUUGUGUUAUGACUGUUGCUUUGCUUA